GACGAACGCUGGCGGCGUGCUUAACACAUGCAAGUCGAACGGAAAGGCCCUGCUUUUGUGGGGUGCUCGAGUGGCGAACGGGUGAGUAACACGUGAGUAACCUGCCCUUGACUUUGGGAUAACUUCAGGAAACUGGGGCUAAUACCGGAUAGGAGCUCCUGCUGCAUGGUGGGGGUUGGAAAGUUUCGGCGGUUGGGGAUGGACUCGCGGCUUAUGAGCUUGUUGGUGGGGUAGUGGCUUACCAAGGCUUUGACGGGUAGCCGGCCUGAGAGGGUGACCGGCCACAUUGGGACUGAGAUACGGCCCAGACUCCUACGGGAGGCAGCAGUGGGGAAUAUUGCACAAUGGGCGGAAGCCUGAUGCAGCAACGCCGCGUGCGGGAUGACGGCCUUCGGGUUGUAAACCGCUUUCGCCUGUGACGAAGCGUGAGUGACGGUAAUGGGUAAAGAAACACCGGCUAACUACGUG
rnacentral:rRNA from 1 species